rnacentral:rRNA from 1 species
CCUACGGGAGGCAGCAGUAAGGAAUAUUGGUCAAUGGACGCAAGUCUGAACCAGCCAUGCCGCGUGAAGGAUUAAGGCCCUCUGGGUUGUAAACUUCUUUUAUAGGGGACGAAAAAAGGGCAUUCUUGCUCACUUGACGGUACCCUAGGAAUAAGCACCGGCUAACUCCGUGCCAGCAGCCGCGGUAAUACGGAGGGUGCAAGCGUUAUCCGGAUUUACUGGGUUUAAAGGGUGCGUAGGUGGGUUGGUAAGUCAGUGGUGAAAUCUUCGAGCUUAACUCGGAAACUGCCAUUGAUACUAUCAAUCUUGAAUCAUCUAGAGGUAAGCGGAAUAUGUCAUGUAGCGGUGAAAUGCUUAGAUAUGACAUAGAACACCAAUUGCGAAGGCAGCUUACUAUGGAUGUAUUGACACUGAGGCACGAAAGCGUGGGGAUCAAACAGGAUUAGAUACCCUGGUAGUCCACGCCCUAAACGAUGGAUACUCGACAUUUGUGAUAUACUAUAAGUGUCUGAGCGAAAGCAUUAAGUAUCCCACCUGGGAAGUACGACCGCAAGGUUGAAACUCAAAGGAAAUUGACCGG